rnacentral:tRNA from 2 species
AAGGGUUUAGCUUAAAUAAAGUGGCUGGUUUGCAUCCAGUUGAUGUGAGUAGUAGUCUUGCAAUCCUUA